AUUGAACGCUGGCGGCAGGCCUAACACAUGCAAGUCGCACGAGUGGCGGACGGGUGAGUAAUGUAUGGGAAACUGCCCGAUGGAGGGGGAUAACUACUGGAAACGGUAGCUAAUACCGCAUACCAUCGGAUGUGCCCAGAUGGGAUUAGCUCGUAGGUGGGGUAACGGCUCACCUAGGCGACGAUCCCGAGCUGGUCUGAGAGGAUGACCAUCCACACGGGAACUGAGACACGGUCCAGACUCCGACGGGAGGCAGCAGUGGGGAAUAUUGCACAAGGGGCGAAAGCCUGAUGCAGCCAUGCCGCGUGUAUGAAUAAGGCCUUCGGGUUGUAAAGUACUUUCAGCGAGGAGGCGUUACUCGCAGAAGAAGCACCGGCUAACUCCGUGCCAGCAGCCGCGUUAAUUC
rnacentral:rRNA from 1 species